rnacentral:tRNA from 1 species
GUGAUAUAGUCGAAUGGUAAAAUUUCUCUUUGCUAAGGAGAAGAUGCGAGUUCGAUUCCUGCUAUCUGCC